UGCAGUCGAGCGGUAACAGAUCCAGCUUGCUGGAUGCUGACGAGCGGCGGACGGGUGAGUAAUGCAUAGGAAUCUGCCCGAUAGUGGGGGAUAACCUGGGGAAACCCAGGCUAAUACCGCAUACGUCCUACGGGAGAAAGGGGGCUCCGGCUCCCGCUAUGGGAUGAGCCUAUGUCGGAUUAGCUAGUUGGUGAGGUAACGGCUCACCAAGGCCACGAUCCGUAGCUGGUCUGAGAGGAUGAUCAGCCACAUCGGGACUGAGACACGGCCCGAACUCCUACGGGAGGCAGCAGUGGGGAAUAUUGGACAAUGGGGGAAACCCUGAUCCAGCCAUGCCGCGUGUGUGAAGAAGGCCCUCGGGUUGUAAAGCACUUUCAGCGAGGAAGAACGCCUAGCGGUUAAUACCCGCUAGGAAAGACAUCACUCGCAGAAGAAGCACCGGCUAACUCCGUGCCAGCAGCCGCGGUAAUACGGAGGGUGCAAGCGUUAAUCGGAAUUACUGGGCGUAAAGCGCGCGUAGGUGGCUUGAUAAGCCGGUUGUGAAAGCCCCGGGCUCAACCUGGGAACGGCAUCCGGAACUGUCAAGCUAGAGUGCAGGAGAGGAAGGUAGAAUUCCCGGUGUAGCGGUGAAAUGCGUAGAGAUCGGGAGGAAUACCAGUGGCGAAGGCGGCCUUCUGGACUGACACUGACACUGAGGUGCGAAAGCGUGGGUAGCAAACAGGAUUAGAUACCCUGGUAGUCCACGCCGUAAACGAUGUCGACCAGCCGUUGGGUGCCUAGCGCACUUUGUGGCGAAGUUAACGCGAUAAGUCGACCGCCUGGGGAGUACGGCCGCAAGGUUAAAACUCAAAUGAAUUGACGGGGGCCCGCACAAGCGGUGGAGCAUGUGGUUUAAUUCGAUGCAACGCGAAGAACCUUACCUACUCUUGACAUCCUGCGAAUUUGGUAGAGAUACCUUAGUGCCUUCGGGAACGCAAAGACAGGUGCUGCAUGGCUGUCGUCAGCUCGUGUUGUGAAAUGUUGGGUUAAGUCCCGUAACGAGCGCAACCCUUGUCCUUAUUUGCCAGCGCGUAAUGGCGGGAA
rnacentral:rRNA from 1 species